rnacentral:rRNA from 1 species
UACGUAGGGUGCGAGCGUUGUCCGGAAUUACUGGGCGUAAAGAGCUUGUAGGCGGUUUGUCGCGUCGUCCGUGAAAACUUGGGGCUCAACCCCAAGCUUGCGGGCGAUACGGGCAGACUUGAGUACUGCAGGGGAGACUGGAAUUCCUGGUGUAGCGGUGAAAUGCGCAGAUAUCAGGAGGAACACCGGUGGCGAAGGCGGGUCUCUGGGCAGUAACUGACGCUGAGAAGCGAAAGCGUGGGUAGCGAAC